ACCAAUAAGCUGUUAACCACCCGCUGUAAAACAAGAAGAAGACGGUAUAUCCAAUCACAUGCGCAUGUUGCUGUGACGUGGUCUUGGAAGAAGGUCGUUGUGAUUUCAAAUUCUCCGUGGGAAAAUCUGGGUUUGACGGCGUUCAAGAGCAGAGUUCUCUACAUUUGGCCCAACAGCUCAAAUGGAAACUAGAGCACAAGAUCAGAAUGAAGCUCCCACACAUGGCCUUAUGACUGUUGCCCUAGUGAAGAACCCGAGGUCCAGCCUUCCCCACUCAAGACAUGCCUGAGACAAGAGUGACUGUAUUCCAAGAUCAUCAAAACCAAGGAGAAAAGCCAAUAUAUGCAAGGAGCCCCCACGACCGAUUCUGAGA